GUGUUACUCGGUAGCACAUUUACUAAAAUUGGAACGAUACAGAGAAGUUUAGCCAGGCCUCCGUUAAGGAUAUUACUUUUGUCAAGUGGAAGAAAUCGGCUGCAU